GAUCACUUGCCCUGGGGAAGCAGCUACCAUGUUGUGAGGCUGCUCAAGUAGCCUUGUGGAGAGGUCCACAUGGAGAGAAAACAAGGCCUUUGCCGCAGCCGGCACCAACUUGCCAACCAUCUGAGUCAGCCACCUUGGAAGUGGAUCCUCCAGCCUCAGUCCAGCCUUCAGAUGACCACUGUCCCAGCUCAUGUCUAGACUGCAACCUCAUGAGAGACCUGGAGCCAGAACACCCAGCUAAGCUGUUCCUGAAUUCCCGACUCACAGAGACUGUGAAAGAUAAUAUAUGUUUGUGUCUGUUUUAAGUCACUAAGUUUUGGCUGUUGCCUAACAGUAGAUAGCUGAUAUAAAGCUUACUUAGUACCAGAAGUGGGGUGCUGAUGGAACAUAAACCUACCAAUGUGGGAGCAUCUUUGGAACUGAGCAGAGGGCAGAAGCUGAAAGGACUUUGAAGAAAGUGUCAGAGAAAGCCUAAAGGGCACUGGAGAAGCCAGUAGUGGGAGGAGAAUGUUAGUGAGGGUUUAUAGGAAAGUGAGAACAAUGCAUUGGAGACUGGAAGAAAGGUGAUUCUUGUUAUGGAGAGGCAGAAAUUAAGCAACACUGCAACAAGAUGGAAAGCUCAUAAAUUGAAUGAUCUAGCUAAGGAGACUUUUAGGCAAGCCCAGAUAUUGGGCUCUUCCACUAAGAGUAUCUUGCUACAAAUAUAAAAGAACCAGAAAAUGCAGCCCUGCCCUUGGCCUCUGGGCACCAUCUCACUCUGUAGCAUGAACUGUGCCCACUGGCCUCCUUGCAAGUGACUGAUGUAGAAGGUGGAGAGUUGUCAUGCUUGCUGGUUCCCAGGAUGGUUCUCAGAAAGCUUGGAACUGAGGUGGAAUCAUGUUCAUGUUCCUCCCAGAGUAUAGAGCAGUUAGACUCUCGGUACAUUUCUGGAGAGAGAUGGGGGUGAAGAGUGCUCAAGGGAAGAAUUGAAUCAAUGCUCCCAGCACUCCACCCUGCCCAUGGGAAGUCAGGUUGCAGAGAGGCUAACCUGAAAACUCAGUCACAAUGCUCCCUGGAUCUGAUCAUAUUUAGGGUAUACUUUGGGGUGCCUGGGCCCCUCAGCAGGUGGGUCUGGACAGAGGCUGCACACUGCAGGUUCCUCCCAUGUUUUUCUUCCUAAGGAUGGAACCACUCACAUGCAUGAUACUCACACACAUGACACUCACACGCAGGCCGUCUCUCCUUGGGAUACCUGAUGGUCUGAGCUUUAAAGUAAUUUACCUUUAUUUACCUGUAAUGAAUAUUCAUCCUGCUUUCUUCUUGUCCAGUGCUUCAAACAUCUUCUUUUCUUUGGGGAGCUCCUGCCUCCUCAGUCCCUGACUGUCUAGAGGAGCCAGAAACUCUAUUUCUCAGACAGGAGGGUGCAGGCAUGUGACCAAACUCACCAUAUAGAUGUACCUGCACCAGACUCAGAUUCAGAGCCAGGGGCUCCAGGAUGAAGCAAGUUCCCAUGGGCUCCACCCUGGCGGGGAGGCGACAUUGGAAGCCCCUUUGCAGUUGCCCUACUCAGGGCAGGCUGCCGUGUUGUUUCCUGGAGCUGCUCUGCAGUAGGUGGCACAUUUGGGCCAUAUUCUAGAGCCCAGUUCCCAGGUCGUUCAAAAGAUGCUGGGGCCCCCAAGUAGCCAGUGAUAAAUCCCAUUUCUGCUUAAACUCAAUACAAGUGGUUUCUGUUGUUUGCAACCAAGCCUGCCUGAGGCCUUCUACUGGCGCUGCACCUUUGCAAGGUGGACAUUUGGUGUGAUAUAUAACAGCAACUUUGGGAUGAAUUCCACUCUACCAGACACAGCUGGGAGCAGAACAAUCCCAGAUACCUCUUCGGGUAAAUGGACCCCUAACUAGGGCAAUGCAUUUUUUAAUGUGCUUUUUAAAUCACUUGGAAUGCCCUGACCUCCCCACCUCCUCCUCUGUCCCACUCGGGUCCACCCUCCACAUCACGGCCAGUGUGAUCUUUCUCCACAAUGAUCUGGUGGUGCUACUCCCCAUGUGACACCUGCGCUGGGUGUCUCUGUCCCCACCCCAUCUUCCUCCUCCCUGCUGUGCCCACCCAGCCAUGCCAUGGGGACCAUCACUCUUGCUCUCUGGCUUCAAGUGGGGUUUGGCCAAUGGGAGCACGGGCAGGCCCUCAGAGGGCAGGAAGAAUGGACUUGGACAUCUGUUACCUCCGCUCCUUCCCUGCCAGGUUACCACAGACGGAGUCUUGCUCUGUCUCCCAGCUGGACUGAAAUGGCGUGAUCUCGGCUCACUGCAACCUCUGCCUCUCGGGUUCAAGCGAUUCUCCUGCCUCAGCCUCCUGAGCAGCUGGGAUUACAGCCAGGAAUGCAUAAGAGACAGCUGGAGCUCUAGCAGCCAUGUUGAGCCAUGAGGCAAACUAGAGGAUGGAAGCAAAGGCUAAGCCUGGUGAAGCAGAAAUCAUGGAGGAACACGAUGCCCCAGUGACCAUGGAGCCAUGACACCAGCCCUGGACUAACUACUUGUAGAACCGUUUUAAAUGAGAGAAAAAUCAGCACAAUUGUGUACAUCUGCUGCUCUUUUAGGCACUGCAAUUUGUUUUGCUUGUUUUUAAACCUCUCAUAAAUGGAAUCACGCUGUG